GGCCUUGACAUACUAAGAACUUUCCAGAGAUGGAUUGGUGCCUUCGGGAACUUAGAUACAGGUGCUGCAUGGCUGUCGUCAGCUCGUGUCGUGAGAUGUUGGUUAAGUCCGCAACGAGCGCAACCCUUUCCUUAUUUGCCAGCGGGUAAUGCCGGGAACUUUAAGGAUACUGCCAGUGACAAACUGGAGGAAGGCGGGGACGACGUCAAGUCAUCAUGGCCCUUACGGCCAGGGCUACACACGUGCUACAAUGGUCGGUACAAAGGGUUGCUACCUCGCGAGAGGAUGCUAAUCUCAAAAAGCCGAUCGUAGUCCGGAUCGCAGUCUGCAACUCGACUGCGUGAAGUCGGAAUCGCUAGUAAUCGCGGAUCAGAAUGCCGCGGUGAAUACGUUCCCGGGCCUUGUACACACCGCCCGUCACACCAUGGGAGUUUGUUGCACCAGAAGUAGGUAGUCUAACCGCAAGGAGGACGCUUACCACGGUGUGGCCGAUGACUGGGGUGAAGUCGUAACAAGGUAAGCGUAGAUGA
rnacentral:rRNA from 1 species